rnacentral:lncRNA from 1 species
AAAAAAAAAAAAAAAAAAAGAGUAUAAUAGCUUAAUCGUUUCACCACAACCCAUAAACAUUUCUUGUUAAUCCACUUUUUUCUUAAUUUUCAAAACUAGUCGUUUUAAAUAGUGAAACCUUGAAUUAUUUCUUGUCCUUUUUGAACGAAAAAACAAAAACUUUGGAGAUGUGAUGGGGAAAUGAUGUCAUCCCCGUGGCCGACAAUUACGCAGCUGAUUUUUCUCCGAAUCCAAGAACCGAC